GGCGGAGCUCGGCACUGAGGUGAAGCUCCACAUGACGGGACUCGCAUUGUGCGCCGAGAUUUGGAGGAAAAGGCAUAAAAACUAAAACUGGACACAGAGGAAGUGAAAAAUGCAAGGAAACGGACUAAACUGAAAUUCAACAGAAGUUCCACUCUGUAUUUAAUUAAUCGCUUUUUUGCGCAAAAACAAAUGGUUUGAAACUAGUAGGGAAGGCUGCGACAACAACGGCUGUUCUAUUGUUAUGGCGCUGCUCUGCGGUUGGACGGCCACGGUGUGGACAGCGCAUGCGCGAACAUCAUGUUUCCCGCCGGCCGGCAGGUGCGGGACGCGGUGCAUUGUUGUAAGAUUUCCCGCCAAUAUUGCACUCGUCCCGGCCUCCUGGAGCGCGAGGACACCGCGAGCCGGUCUGAACUAGAAAUGGCCGGAUUCAUUAGUGAUGACUGUGACAGAGAGGCAGCGACAAUACUGACCGAGGUCCUGCUGCUGGGAUACGAAUAAUGACAGGAACAUUGGGAUUGUGACUGUCUUCAACACCCUCCUUCAUUAAAAAGAUUGGGUUCAAGGUUUUUAAAAAUACAUUACAAAUAUAAGUUUAAUAAAAACAAAAAAAAAACAUCAGUCAGAAAACACCUGUGAAUUAGAGAUUUUGACACCCCUACAUUAGGCCAGACCAAACAAAUAUAUAAAUACUUAUUUUGUGUUAAACAGCCAGCUAGUCUUGUAGUGGUAUUAGUCUUGUGGUAUCUAUAGUGGUAGUGGUAUAUACUAGUGGUAUCACUAUUAAUCACAAGGAUGUCAACAUAGCCAAUAAUCCACACUGAGCAAUUGUCACAAUGAAUGUAAAGAAAGUAAAAAAGGUACAGUUUCAUAUCUGAGGCUAUUUAGUUUUAAUUAUAUGUAUAUUUAAUGGUGGUCUAUUACACCUGCACAUUUUUUCAUUUUACACUUGGGACAGCUAUUACACAGGAUGGCGCUCCUUCUUGGCAUUAUCUCUUUCUUAUAUACUUUAAAGUUUCAUGGAUUAAUUUGAUAUUUACAAUAAUGGGAUGACAGAUUUACAGCAAGAAGCUGCCAAGCAAAUCUGUCCUAGAUGUACAAGUCAGUGAUCAUUAACACAUGGUCAACUGUACACAUUUUCCCUUUCACUUGUUCUCUCACACAUCAUUAUGCGCACACACACACACGCGCACACACACACACACACACACACGAAAGAAUACAGCUUUUUGCUUUUUACAUUGACCUGAGGCACCUCCUAACUACAACAGUCUCAUUCAUACAAUAAAAAGUCAGUUGUUGAUUUCUCUA